UACAGAGGGCGCGAGCGUUGUCCGGAAUCACUGGGCGUAAAGGGCGCGUAGGUGGCCACUAUAAGGCCGCGGUGAAAGUUCGGGGCUCAACCCUGAAUCUGCCGCGGCGACUGUAGGGCUAGGGCACCGUAGAGGCAGAUGGAAUUCCGGGUGUAGCGGUGGAAUGCGUAGAGAUCCGGAAGAACACCGGUGGCGAAGGCGGUUCUCUGG
rnacentral:rRNA from 1 species